rnacentral:rRNA from 1 species
UACGAAGGGGGCUAGCGUUGUUCGGAAUUACUGGGCGUAAAGCGCGCGCAGGCGGUCUUCCAAGUCAGUGGUGAAAGCCCGGAGCUCAACUCCGGAACUGCCAUUGAAACUGUGAGACUGGAGUACGAGAGAGGUGAGUGGAAUUCCCAGUGUAGAGGUGAAAUUCGUAGAUAUUGGGAAGAACACCGGUGGCGAAGGCGGCUCACUGGCUCGUAACUGACGCUCAGGCGCGACAGCGUGGGGAGCGAACAGG